AACAAAGGUGUCCUGGUAUUAGAAAAAGCAAUUUAUCAAUGGCAUUUUAGGAUGAUCCAGUUUUACACUCAUUUAUGUCUAAAUUUGCAGAUGAUAACUAGUUUUACUCCAAGUGCAAGGAUGCAAAGGACAAUCAUUUCAAUAGUAAUUGACCUGGAAAUAAAAAGGAUGCACAAUUUUAAAAUAUUUCAUCACACCAGCCUGUGCAAGUGGCAGAGUAGAAACCAAGUGGACUGAGAUGCACUAAUAUGGCAUGAGGCUCCUGAGAAACAAAUGUCAUGUAUCAUCACAACAACUAGCACAGCCCUUUGGGAAACCUGUAAUUCUCUUUGUGGGACUCUGGACCAUGAGACACACACCAAACCUAGAGACAGACAUUCCUGUGCCAGUAGCCACAAUGGAUCUUCCAUGCUGUGAGCCAAGGUGGUCCAGUGAGCCAGUCCCUUUGCUGUGUGUGUUCAGACAAUAAAAUUUGGGCUUCACAGUUCCCUGAAAGAUAGGAAUAAAAACAUUCCAGCACUUAGAGAAGCUGCAACAAUGGCAAAACUGUACAUACCAACGACAACCAAAGCACUCACUGGUGAGACUGGCAGAAUUUGGGGUUUGGAUUAAUUUUCAAGUUUAUUUGGAUGAUCAGCUUUUUAGCCUUGUGGAAGCUGUAGCAAUCCUGACGUCAGGUUAAAAAUUCAAGAAGGUAUGAACUUUUUUCAGUCUCUGUAUUAACGAAAUCCAUGCUCCCUGCUUCCUGACCUUGACAAUGACACUGCUUCCAGCAGCUAUAAAUGAAACUGAAAGCGGAUCCACGAGGAUAAUUAUACCACAGCAGAGGUGUCAACACAUUGUUUGUCCUGUAGAACUUUUUCAGGAAUCUGGCACACACGAGAGAGUUCCUGAAAGUAUUCACUGAGUCCAGACCCCAAGCUUUCCCACUACUCCUAUGGAGUGAUCAGUGGAACGAUCAGUAACGUGGAGGAAAUUUAAUAAAUACAGAAGCAGAAGUCACAGGUGAAAGAGAUAACAAAGGAUUAUAAUCUUUCUCAAGAUUUAGGAGGGUGGUGAGGCCCUGGCACAGCUUAUCCACAGAAGCCCUGGCUGCC